CGCCAGACUCCUACGGAGGCAGCAGUGGGGAAUAUUGCACAAUGGGGGAAACCCUGAUGCAGCGACGCCGCGUGAAGGAAGAAGUAUUUCGGUAUGUAAACUUCUAUCAGCAGGGAAGAAAAUGACGGUACCUGACUAAGAAGCCCCGGCUAACUACGUGCCAGCAGCCGCGGUAAUACGUAGGGGGCAAGCGUUAUCCGGAUUUACUGGGUGUAAAGGGAGCGUAGACGGCAUGGCAAGUCAGAUGUGAAAGCCCGGGGCGCAACCCCGGGACUGUAUUUGAAACUGUCAGGCUGGAGUGCAGGAGAGGUAAGUGGAAUUCCUAGUGUAGCGGUGAAAUGCGUAGAUAUUAGGAGGAACACCAGUGGCGAAGGCGGCUUACUGGACUGUAACUGACGUUGAGGCUCGAAAGCGUGGGGAGCAAACAGGAUUAGAUACCCCCGUAGUA
rnacentral:rRNA from 1 species